UACGUAGGGGGCGAGCGUUGUCCGGAGUUACUGGGCGUAAAGCGCACGCAGGCGGUCUGUUAAGUUUGGAGUGACAGUUGGUGGCUUAACUGCCAAAGUGCUUCGAAAACUGACAGACUUGAGGGCUUCAGAGGGACACGGAAUUCCGGGUGGAGUGGUGAAAUGCGUAGAGAUCCGGAGAAACACCAAAGGCGAAGGCAGUGUCCUGGGGAGUACCUGACGCUCAGGUGCGAAAGCCAGGGGAGCGAACGGG
rnacentral:rRNA from 1 species